rnacentral:rRNA from 1 species
AGUGAACGCUGGCGGUAGGCCUAACACAUGCAAGUCGAACGGCAGCACAGUAAGAGCUUGCUCUUACGGGUGGCGAGUGGCGGACGGGUGAGGAAUACAUCGGAAUCUACUUUUUCGUGGGGGAUAACGUAGGGAAACUUACGCUAAUACCACAUACGACCUACGGGUGAAAGCAGGGGAUCUUCGGACCUUGCGCGAUUGAAUGAGCCGAUGUCGGAUUAGCUAGUUGGCGGGGUAAAGGCCCACCAAGGCGACGAUCCGUAGCUGGUCUGAGAGGAGGAUCAGCGACACUGGAGCUGGAACACGGUCCAGACUCCUACGGGAGGCAGCAGUGGGGAAUGUUGGACAGAGGGCGCAAGCCUGGUCCGGCCAUACCGCGUGGGUGAAGAAGGCGUUGGGGUUGUAAAGCCCUUUUGUUGGGAAAGAAAAGCAGCAGGUUAAUACCCCGCUGUUCUGACGGUACCCAAAGAAUAAGCACCGGCUAACUUCGUG